rnacentral:rRNA from 1 species
CCGCCCGUCACACCAUGGAAGCUAGCUGUACCGGAAGUCGGUGGGCCAACCCCGAGCAAUCGGGGAGGCAGCCGCCCGUGGUAUGGCUGGUGACUGGGGUG